CCCCCCCACAAGAGACGGGCCCGGCGCUGAGUUGGGGGGGAGCCCGGGUGGGGCUGCCGCCUCCUUGCACCGCGCCCCGGGAGGGGCUUCCUUCCAGUUCUCCUUCUUACGGCUUCACCACUGGUGUGGUCAACACAGCAGGCAAAAUUAACCCGACUAAAGUGUUUGAUCUACAGAUAAGAUACUCCUAUGCAUUUUGCAAGUUCAGUUUAGGAUGACCUGCACUGAUACCUGUUUUCACUAACUGGAAGAGAUCUGAAGAGGACUUUUGCUCUUAGGAGGACAGACCUUCAUCAAAGCUGCUGCAGGUCCAUCAGCUUCGUUCCCCUGGAACUAAAGAGCCUUGUAAGAACUUCACGAGGACCAUUCAUCCAGGGAGUCCUCAACCUCAGUUCUCACAGACAGAAGAUGGAGAUCUGAGAGGCUUACAGGAGAAAAAGUUAAGGAGCCCGUCAAGAAGAGGAUGGACAGACCAAAGAAAACAGCCCACGGCAGCAGACACCUGAGAUACAGCCUGGAAAUCUCUGGGAGGACAGGGCUCGGUGCUGAGAUGAAGAUGCUCAAGACACGUCCACGGGAUGAGCAAACGUGCUCGCUUCCGAGGUCCUCUCCACCCGCCGGCGUGUCCCAGCCUACAAACGACUGUUCUCGCACGCUGGGGUCUCUCUCCAUCCCCCUCUCUCUCUGUCUGUCUCCCACUCUCUCCAUCUCUGCCUUUGUCUUUUUCUGUCUGUCUCUGUCUGUCUCUCUGUUUCUCUCAGAAUGGUGCUAACAAGGAGGGAGGGGUGGAGGAUUGAAACCUGCUCCGUCAAAAUUAUUUGAUCUGUUUCCAUCUUUCCGUCGGGCCCCAGUGAACACCCCAUGAGCUCUCUGCUGCCAUGUUAAUAUCCCGGGAGAUGCUAUCUGGUGGCCCACAUCUCAUGCCAGAGGCAACACCCGCUCCCAAAGAAUCCCAGCCCGCGUCCCACCCUUCUGAGAGAGGCAGAGCCCAUCUCCCUUGACGCCUGUGUGGCUGAGGCGGUUUUUUCUUGAACUCUGCACCUUGGGAACAUUUUUAUGUGCCUCUUGCCAAACCUGAAACUUGAUGUUGGGAUUGUUGGUGAUCCUCCAAGAGGCCGGGCCUCCAGUUCAGGCACCAGAACACACCUGGCCACUCCCAGAAGCUCUUUUCCCAAGUGCCAGGAAGCUGCACCUCGUCUUCGGGGUAGGAGCAGCUUGGGAGAAUGGCCCAGAAUCUUCCAGAAUCACUUUCAUUCUGUUAUCUUGAAACAAACACAUUAACCUGCAGAUGUGGCUACUGGGUGUAGCCUCUAUUGAGACUGAAUCAAUUGGCCCCCAGUGCAAACACAUCGUUAAAUGAAUAUGCACGUAACAUAUUCACUUAUAAUUGAUGUGUUUGCACGCUUUUCCCUGUCUUUUGCCACUCACCCUUUGUUUUAAAUAUCACUGACCGCCUGCCGACCAUGCCACUCCUCCAUGCACUAUUAUUGAGACAUGGAGUGAUUUAAAGAAACACAUAUAAACAUCUCCCUCUGACACACUGUUCGUUCCACCCGAAUCCCUUUAAGGAGACGUAUAUUCCUAUGGUUUAGAUCAUGUAAGUUACUUUUCCAUGCAUUGUCUUUUCUAAUAUUUAUUUAUUUGGAUUUAUUUGGCUGCGCAGGGCUGUGGUUGUGGCACUUGGAAUCUUUAGUUGCGGUGUGUGACCUCUUAGUCUCGGCACGCGGGAUCUGGCUCCCCGAGCAGGAACCGAACCCGGGGCCCCCUGCGUUGGGAGCGCAGAGUCUUAGGCACUGGGCCACCAGGCAAGUCCCUGGAUCAUAUACUUUAUUAAUGAAAAAGGCACAGUGAGAAAACUGGCUCUGCGUGUUCAUCUGCAGAGGGUAACUCUGCGGGGAGGGGUUUAAGAGGAGGCACGACUGAGACUAUUUCUCAUCUUCCGUCAGGACAUUCAAUGCCUGGGCCGGAUGGUGAGGAUGGGUGGGCAGUCAGGCGCCGAGUAUGAAGGCAGAGCUCACCGCAGCCAAGGGGCCGUAUUCUACACAGGAGCCCCAUCCUCAAGGGGUCCGCAGAAGCUUCUGGAACAUUCGCUGGUGGAGAUCACUGUGGGCACACAAGGGGCCAGGGGAGGGGUGUCAGCAGCUUCUUUCCCGAUUCAGUUUUGUGUCCCUGUUGAGCUCCACCUCCUCUCCCACCCCUGCUCUAUCCCCGCCAGGUCCAUGCUCUGCUUCUCUCUUCUUGCGUCUAGGCUCCAGGAGGCAGAGAUGAGCAUGUGGGCGAGCUCCCCAAGCCCGCUGGGUUCCAUGUGGGUCAGGCCUCUGAGUAACACUGGGUGGGGGGUGGGGUGUGUGUGUGCGCCUGUCUCCCUCCCCUCGGGAUCACUUGUGUUCUUGACUGAAGGUUAGGGCUAGAGUCAGAGUCAGGCUGCCCUGUCAAUCAGCCUUCUCCCUUCCCCCCACUCCUCCCUUCUCAUCUCUGCCUGUAUCUCCUUGUCUGUCCCCAUCUGUUUCUCCCUCUCCUCCCCCUUCUUCUCUGAGUCUUGGAAUCACAUGCCCUUCCCUUGCAUUUCCCGGCAGCAGGAAGUGGUCCUGGCUCCCUGGGGGUGGAAGCCCCAGGAAGCUACACUUGGCCUUCAGGCUCCUCUGUACCCUGUGUUCCUGUGCCUUGUCAGCAUUCCCUUUCUCAAAACUCCUCUUGGUUCCCCAGGUCCACUCCUUCUUGCCAGGACCCAAGAGACACAGAGUUGUGGGUCAGAUGUGAGUCACAUGGCUGUGCUUCUCCCAGGUGCCCGGAGGUCCCCCACCCCCGGAGCAGGGCCUCCUUUGCCAUACCUCACCAGGACCUCACUGCCUUCCCCAGCCACCCCACAAACUCUGGACCCCCGAAUGAGAGCUGAGCUACGUGAAGGGGCAGAGUGCAGACCCUGUGGGUUACAACAUGCUUCCUCCUGGGGUCCCCAGUCAAGGGGGAUGACGCAACAUUUCAUCAGGUUAAGUGAUGAGGCGGCUACCCAGUGUUAGCUCUCAUCAGGCUCUCUAAGGCUGAGGAGGCUGUAUGAAAGCACCUUGAAAGUCGUCAUGCAGUAACCCAGUGGACGUGCGCCCAUCUGGCUGGUGUAGCGGCAGCCUCCCAACUAGGCGGGGAGGUCUUGGGUCAGGAAGGUGGCUUUUGUGUAGUUUGCUGCCCCUCUGCAGGGUCUGCCCUCGUGCCAUACGUGCACCCAAGAGCUUGGGAAAUGAUGCCUGCUCCACAGCGACUAUUCAGCUUGUGAUUUUUGAAGGAAGGCAAGACAGUCUUCUGGGACUUCCUAGAGGAAGGCAAAGAGUACCUACCCAUGUCUAAACUCUUAAAAGUAGAGGCCAUUACUUUGCCUAAUUCUAGAAUUAUAUCACAAAUUCUGUACAAAUCAUAUUUAAAUGGAUAGUCCUAACAUAAAUGACUCUGAAGGGAAUACAUCAGGUAGUAUAGGUUGACUGGCUCCGCUCCUUCAAUUAUAUCUGUUUCCGCUAUAGAAGCUGAUUAUGCAAAAAAAAAAAAAAAAAGUCACUUUGCUCAUUCAGUAUUCUUAGGGCUAGGAAUGGCUUUGUGACUCAUUUCUCAAAAGUAAAAUAAACAUUCCAAUGGUACCGUCAAUUUCCCUUUUGUUUUUACCAUCUUGGAAUGCAAACAUGAUGGCUGGAACUUCAGCAGCAAACCUUGGGAAGAGGAGGCGAUAGCAAGGAGGGAAAGAUGAGAAUUGCAGAGACAGUGAGGUGUUGACCUUGAUACUUGUAAGCCACUGAACUACUGAGAUCAAUCAGCUACCUCCAGAAUUGUUUGUGCAUUUGUGUGUGUGUGUGUGUGUGAGAGAGAGAGAGAGAACUACUUGUAAGCCACUGAACUACUGAGAUCAAUCAACUACCUCCAGAAUUGUUUGUGCAUUUGUGUGUGUGUGUGUGUGUGUGUGUGUGUGUGUGUGUGUGUGAGACAGAACAUUAACCUUUCUUUAUUGUUGUUUAGCAGCUCAGUCGUGACCAACUCUUUUGUGAUCCCAUGGACUGUAGCCCCCCAGGCUCCCCUGUCCACGGGAUCUCCCAGAAUACUGGAGUGGGUUGCUGUUUCCUUCUCCAGGGGAUCUUCCUGACCCAGGGAUCAAACUUGAGUCUCCUGCAUUGGCAGGCAAAUUCUUUACUGAUGGGCCAUCAGGGAAGCUUGCUGCUGCUGCUGCUGCUAAGUCGCUUCAGUCAUGUCCGACUCUGUGUGACCCCAUAGACGGCAGCCCACCAGGCUCCCCCAUCCCUGGGAUUCUCCAGGCAAGAACACUGGAGUGGGUUGCCAUUUCCUUCUCCAGUGCAGGAAAGUGAAAAGUGAAAGUGAAAUCGCUCAGUUGUGCCUGACUCUUAGCGACCCCAUGGACUGCAGCCCACCAGGCUCCUCCGUCCGUGGGAUUUUCCAGUACUCUUGCCUGGAAAAUCCCAUGGACGGAGGAGAAGACUAAAUCCCCAUUAAUUAAUUAUUCUGUUUCUUGUAGCCAAAGAUAGCCCUAUCUGGUACAGUCAAAAAUGUGUUGAUAAAAUAAAAUUACUUCUCUUUCUCCAACACCUCAUUGGCUUUUCACGUUGAAAUCUGCAUAGGGCAGUUUUCUAAGUGAGAGGGUUCGUUCAGGAUUAAUUCAAGCCUGUUUGACCCACCACCCUGCCAAAUGCCCGUGACCCCCUUUCACUCUCUUCUUAGCAGCUCUUGAGCCCCUUGAGAGCAGAUGCCACGUGACAUUUACAUCCCUAGGGAUCAACACCACAGUUUUCAUGUAACUGGCAUUGGAUUAAAGAUGGGCCCUGAAGAAAGAAAAUAAGCUUCAUAAGGUCCAGAGAGGGCGGUACAGUAACUACCACUUAUUGAGGGACUAAUACAUGCAAACGUUUUCCAGUCCUCAUUUCAGACACAUCAUAAAGUAUCUGUAGCCCCAUUUUACAGAUGAAAAUCCUGACGCUCAAAGAGUUUGCAUAGUUUGGCCUGGAUCCUGAAGCUUAUAAAUGACACAGAGAAAAUGUGAACCCCUAGCUCCCCCAUAGACGUCUUCCCUGUGAGACGAACAGUUCAGAGCGUGGAAACCACCGCGGGGACUUUGUUUUUCUCACCUCAGCAUCUGAAGACAUCAGCAGACCUAGCCAGGUGCCGACCAGCCUUGACACAGACUCUGAGUGAAACCUUCAAAGGGUCUAGAAUUCAAUCCCCGGCAGGUUCCGAGGAGGACGGUCUGGGGCUUUGGAGAAAGCGGCCUUUUCCACCGUCUCAUUUGCAUGCUGGAUGUCUACUGAAAGUUGCUAUGGUGAUCCGUUUGACCAGAAGUUUCCGCUGAAUCAUCCCAACACAUAUAUGAAAACAGAGAUGUGGUUUGGGGACCCAGGGCCCGCAGCCGGGGGAGACGCUUCCAUCUUUCACUUGUGACUCACUCGUGGUCGUGCGUAGGCCCAGCUGGAAGGGAGGCGAGACCUCUGGGGCAGGUGUCGCUCCCCGGAGAGUUUUUGCACGGCAGGGCUCACGCAGUCAGUCCCCUCUGGGGACGCAAAGAGUGGAGCAGGAAAGGAGGAGCAGCACCCGAGAGAUGCCCUGUUCCCCCGGCUUAUUCCAGGGCUCAGGUCCUCUGGGUAGACGUCUCUGUUUGGAGACAUCCCCCAUGCCCCCUCACCAACAGCCAAGGCCGCCGUGGGUGCCUGGGUUCAGGAGGUCCAUCUGGGAGCCGACCUGAAAAGGCAGGAGGGGAGGGGGCUCUGAACCGGAGGGGAGGGAGGACCUUACCUGAGUGCUGCGGAUGCUUCUGUGGGCGGUGACCCGCUUCAGGACCUGUCUCUAGGGUAGUUGGCCAAGGGACAGAGUGCCUGGGAGCAGACAGGCUUCUGUUCAGGUCUUUUCUCUCCUCAGGGCAAUCCUGGUCUCUGGCCUUGGCAAACAUCUGAACUUUGACCUUGAUUUCCCUGUGUGCAGAAAUGUAGAAAAGAGUACCUCAUUUGACCUAAGGAAAAAAAAAAAGCACAUCCACAGUGGAGCCUGGUGCAGAGUAUUGCAUGCAAGGAGCAGAAAACACUGUCAUAAUCAGGAAAGGAAAGGAUGACUAUGAUUUCUAAAGAUGCUCAAGAGGUCAAGCCUUAGAACCCUGCUCCUUGUGCUUCGGCUUCAUCUUUCUCCAGAACACAGCUGGCCCGCUCCCGGAAGGUAAGCAUCAGAGAGAAACAAAACAAAGAUGAAACCUGGUGUCUGAUGGGAAGCGGCACGCUUGAUAACCUUCCAAGAACCCCUGGCUUCCGACCUCCUCCAAAGGCCUUUUAUAACUUCCUGAAAAUGCUUUUGCAUUGGGUUUUUAAUUAAACAUUUAAUAUGCAUCAUGCAAAUUUAUUGAUUCUACCAGGGGGAAAAAGAUGACUCUUGUUAUUUGGUCAUCGCCAGCUAAGAAGACUCCUAUUUUCCCGGUGGUUACUAAUGGAGCCCCUAGUUCCAUCCAAGUUUGAAUAGCAGUGCAGGAGCGGGGAGCAUCCUGGUUUGCAAAGUCACCAGCUUGGAGCAGUCGUGUUCAUUUCAGCUUCUCAGACUCAGUCCUCAGACUGAGGAUGCAGGGAGGCACAGGCUGUUGAACAUGAACAUGAGCUCUUGAAAUGGACCCCUUUGUCACGGCGUCUCCUUCUGUUCAUCUCUUCAGUCCCUUCCUGUGACUCUGAAGUUCUGAUCUCUGAAAAGGAUGAUCCAGACUGCCCAGAAAAGUACAGUGAGGAAAUGGCUCAAGGGCCAAGAUCACCUUGCCUGCCUGAUCCAGGAGGGUUAGGAGCCCACCAAGCUGGUGUUAAUGGACCAAAAUUCUGGAAGAAUGAGGAAUCUGGCAUAUCAGAUUCUCAUUUACUGUGGCUCAAUUGCAGACUCUCUCGAUUUUCAGCCUUGUUCACAUUUCUUCUAAAAUUCAUAGAAGGGCUCAUUUCUUGCCUUAUUAAAGGGGAUUGGGACUCCCCUAGUGGUCCGGUGGCUGAGAUUCCACGCUCCCGAUGCAGGAGGCCCGAGUCUGAUCCCUGAUCAGGGAGCUAGAUCCCAUAUGCC
ensembl:lncRNA